rnacentral:rRNA from 2 species
GACUCUCGACAACGGAUAUAUCAACUCUCGCAUCGAUGAAGAAUGUAGUGAAAUGCUAUACUUGGUGUGAAUUGCAAAAUCUAAAUACGGGCAAGAGACCGAUAGCGAACAAGUAUCGCGGGGGAAAGAUGAAAAGGACUUUGAAAAGAGAGUCA